AUUGAACGCUGGCGGCAGGCCUAACACAUGCAAGUCGAGCGGAUGAAGCGAGCUUUCUCCUGGAUUCAGCGGAGGACGGGGGAGUAAUGCCUAGUAAUCUGCCUGGUAGUUGGGGGUAACGUCCGGUAACAGGCGCUAAUACCGCAUACGGCCUGAUGUAGAACGGGAGGGAUUUUCGGACCUCACGCUAUCAGAUGAGCCUAGGUCGGAUUAGCUAGGUGGCGGGGUAAAGGCCUUCCAAGGUGACGAUCCGUAACAUGUACCAGGGGAUGAUCAGUCACAUUGGAAGUGAGACACGGCACAGACACCGACAGGAGGCAGCAGUGGGGAAUAUUAGGCGAGGGGGGAAAGCCGGAUCCAGGCAAGCGGCGUGUGUGAUGAAGGAGUUAUGAUUGUAAAGCGAUGAAAGUUGGGGGGAAGGAAAGUAAGUUUAUACCUGAAUGUAUUGACGGUACCAAAAGAAUAAGCCCCGGCUAACUUCGUG
rnacentral:rRNA from 1 species